GCUCAAUAAUGUGAAGAGGUUUAUUUCCAUACCUGAGACUUACAGUGCCUUGGAAAAGUAUUCAACCCCCUUCAAAGUCUCAGAUUCAUCUGGAUUACAAAUGAUACUUGCACAGAUUGUUCUUACAUACAGUAGCCAGUAUUGAAUCAAUACUGAUUCUCAACUGGAUUUAGAGCUGGACUUGGACUUGGCCACUGUAAAACAUUCACAAUUCUUAGGCCUUCUGUUUGGGACUAUUUUCCUGCUGAAAAUUAAAGUUCCUCCCAAGCUAUAUUUAUUUAUUAGCAGACUGAAGCAGAUUCUUUUGUAAUACUCCCCUGUAUUUCGCUCCAUAUAUAUUCUCCCUUCACUUUUGACAAGAAGUCGAGGUUCUGAGGAUGACAAGUGUCAUGCAUGAUGCUACCAACAGCAUAUUUCACUUCUUCACUGUAGAUUCAGCAGUGCUUUCUUGGCCGUCCAACCUCUUGGAUAUAAGUUUCCACCUUAUUCUUAAAUUAUGAAAUUCUAUGACCGUAUCUUUAACUUCCUUAGAAUGCUCCUUAGCCUUCAUUUUCACUCCUUCUUUUCAGACUGACUGUCUCUUCACUGACAGUUUUACUGAGGUGGUUCAGAAAAUGGGAGCUGUUUUAAUAUUUAUAUAACAGGUGAAAUGGCCUCCUCCUCCUCCUCCAACUCUCUUCAUGGUGAACUGUCACAGUUUAUAGAGAGACACAGGUGAAAGGCAUUAUUGUGUUGGACACUGAGUGGUGUUGCGGUGAGUGGAGCUCUUAUCAGCGUGCAAGCAAACUGAAUGGGUUAUGACACAUUUCUAUGUGUGUAUAAGUGUUUAGUGCUUUAAAUAUGUAAGAUGAAUUUUGUUGUACUUAGAACCAGCAAAAUGUAUCUGCACUCUGUAUGCUGUCCCGUCCCCCCGUCCCCCCCCUUCAAUUUAUCUUGGUAAAACAUAGUCAAAUUCUCCAUACAUCUACAGUAUGUAAGUUUGAGCAUCUGAAUCGUGCUGAAAUGCUUAAUUCAUCCAAUUUAUUCAUCCUGGUCAGAGUUGCAUGAGCCAGCCAAAGUUUAACUAGCUUACCCUAUGGAUUAAUUUACUAAGCAACGUGUACCUAAUUUACUAAUACAUAGAAGUCUUUAAGCAAAGAAAUAUGAAAGUACAAAUCAGUAAAAAUGUGUACAAAUACUAAACAAAAAAAGUAUGCAAAAUAUGUAGGCUUUUUUUAAAAGUUGUACACAAAUUAAGUAUGGACACAAAAUUUAUAUGCAUACUUGAAAAAUAAGUGUGCAUACUAAAAUUUUAAGCAUGCAUGCCAAAAUUUAAAUAGACGUACUUUAAAAUCAGGUUGCAAAAUAAAUAUAGUAACUAACCUGACCAGUAUAACUGAUUUCUGCCAUGUGUGGUUGUGCAUGUGUGUGUGUGUGUGUGUGUGUGUCUGUGUGUCUGGUCUCCUGGUGACACCGUGUCUCAUUAG
ensembl:lncRNA